rnacentral:misc_RNA from 1 species
GAUUUGGUUGCCUGUGCGGUCUUACCGUAGUUGGUAGCACAAUUGUCCCGCUGCAGUUAAUUUUGCUUGCCCGGUUGAUGCUAUGCGUCGACGGGCGGCCGAGGCGUUGGCAAAUUCCGUGCGCUGCGAUGCACUGUGUGUGUUGUAACUGCUUAUCGGCUGUUUGCUGGGUCUCACGGAUAUCAGUCCCCACGUUGAUCGGUCUGCGGGCUUCAUGCCUGCAGGCUCAUGGUGUUGCCCGUACACACAAAUUUGUUGCCGAUUGUUCCUCGACAUGUCGUGUUCCUCCGGGAUUCAUGUCGGGGGAUCUCACUCGGCGCAUGUGGGUGUGUACGUGCAUAUCCUUACCGACCCGGACGAUACGCGAUUGCCGGUCAGCAUUUCCACGGUGAG